rnacentral:miRNA from 1 species
GCCAGAUGAUGGGAGCUGAUU